GGUACUGAGGGAGAGGAGGAACAAGUGGGGCUGAGGGAUUCCCGCUCUGCUUAAGAUAGGUCUUCACGGUCUUGUGCGGUCAAGUUCUGCUGCCUUCUCUCGCCUCACCCGCUCUUCCCUCGCCCCUAACAUAGUUGUUGUCACUUCCUUUAGGCUCCCGUUUGAUCAAACCCUCUUUUCCUUCGUCUCCUUGUGGAUCAGAAACUACCGGCCCCGAGGCACGUGGAGCCCACAGGGUGCAUUUAAGUUGCCUUGCACUGUGUCUAAAAUGUUUUAAAAAUUAGUUACCAGCCGUACCCCACGGUGGUGCAGGUGGUAUCCUUGGAGUCUGCUGCUGUGCAGCCUUAGGCAAGUUACUUAAUCUCUCUGUGCCGCGGUGUCCAAUUUGAAGGUGUAGUUGAUAGUAAUACUUCACAGGUAUGUUAUGUGGAUAAUAAGUUAGUUUGGAAGAAUGCCUGGACUCACAGUAAGUGUCACCACAAACCAGGGGCUUGCUUGCUUGCUUGUUUUUUAAGUGAGCAGCGGGCCAAAGUUUAUUAUUGAAAAUUAGAAAGUUACGAAUAAUAUGGUGGCGCCUGGGUGGCUCAGACGGUUAAACAUCUGACUCUCGGGUUCGGCUCAGGUCAUGAUCUCAUGGUUCAUGGGUUCGAGGCCUGCAUUGGGCUGGUGGCACAGAGCCUGCUUGGGAUUCUGUCUCUCCCUCUCUCUGCCCUUCCCCAGCUCGCAAGCACGCGCAUUCUCUCUCAAAACAAAUAAAGAAACUUAAAAAAAACAAAAAACAAAAACAGUAUGAAAACUCUCUUUACAGAGAGGGGACAUUUGAAGGUGAAUACCUGCGGCUGUAGGCAAGGGACCUUGUUUUAUAAGGUUUUGGUCACCCCCUCCUUCCUUUCCCCCUUGUUCCUUCUUUUCAGUUUCUGCCCUUAUUGGUUUGAGACCUCUAAAUACCUAGUCAUUCCUUGUUGAUUGGCUCGUUUCCUUUGUUUAAGGGGUGGUCUAUGGCCCAAACCAGGAACUUUCAAAUAAUGUUUUCAGCUUUCUCCAACAAACCAGGAGAUCUGGCUUUCCCCACAUGGGAAUACUUAGCCGGAGCUGAGUGGCUGAGAGCUGCCCUUUUUAUUUUUGUUAUGUUUAUUUUUAUUGUUUGAGAGAGAGAGAGAGUGCAAGUGAGUGAGGGUGGAGACAGAGCGAGAGACAGAAUCCCACGAGGGACAGAGAGAGAGAGAGACAGGGAGAGAGAGAGAGAGAGAGUGUGAGUCUGGCUCACCCUGAAGCCGGGCUCGAGCUCACCCAGUGCGGACUCGAACUCCUGAACGGUGAGAUCAUGACCUGAGCUGAAGUCAAAAAGCUUAAUCGACGGCCACCCGGGCGUCCUGAGAGCUGCCCUUUUUAGAUUGUUAGAACAGUUGUUCUCCACGUUACCUCAAAUCCCACCACCCCCAAGUACCCAAGAAUACAGUGUUAGGCCACUGUAGCUAACUGCCAGGAAGUCUGUCUUCCUUCAAAACCAAGAGUCAUUACCUCGUUGGGAAGAUAAGGAAUAAUGGGAACAAGGUUGAUUUCCAGUGUAUGAUCAGAGCAUCAGCGUAGAACCUUAUAUAGGCUAAUGCAUUCAACCCUCACAACAUACCUAAAACACGAGUAUUAGUAACCCUGUUUUAGAAGUUAGGAAACUGAGGCAAAGGAAUAUUAAUGUUUUAUUUAUGUUAGAGAGAGAGAGAGAGAGAGACAGAGUGUGAGCAGGGGAGGGGCAGAGAGAGAGAGAGGGAGACACAAUCUCAAGCAGGCUCCAGGCUCUGAGCUGUCGGCACAGAGCCUGACGUGGGGCUCGCACCCACGCUUAACCAACUGAGCCACCCAGGCGCCCUGAGGCAAAGGAAUACUAAGUGGCUUGUCCAAGAGAAAACAGUGGCAGAGCUGGGUUCCAACCCGGACAACCCAUGCCCAUAACCGCUCCAAUCUACCUGGUUCCCUUGGCCCAUUAUAAGCCCACAUCCUAGGCAUUUGAUAGACCUCGUGGAAAUUUCUACCUGGAAGGACCCGCCCCCUGCCCCACCCUGCCCCUCCAUGCCCGAAGCUUCCUUUGCACAACCUCAGUGAGCCCCCGCUCUCCAGGCGCCCCUCCCCUGCCUGCCACCGCUCCUGCCCUGUCUCCACUUCUCCACGAGGAUGUUCCCCAAGGCUGCCCCUGAGACCUCUUCUCUCUCCCAGAGACGGCUGCCCUCCAAGGCUCUGAGUACCAUCUGAUGGUCUCAUGGGUCAGAGGUGGCAGGCUUCCUGAUUUGGCUGAGAAGGGCGGGGAUUCCUGGAGGUGUGGAAGGAGAGGACCCCUCCGGAGUAAUCUCCACGCCCAACGUGGGGCUCAAACUUACAACCCAGAGAUCAAGAGUCACGUGCUCUUCUGACUGAGCCAGCCAGGCGCCCCCAGGACAUGGGUAAUUCUCAGAGACCUAAUGAUAAGUGAAAGAACAAAGAGUGCCUAGUAUGGACUGAAUGUCUGUGUCCUCCUUCCAAUUCAAUGUUGAAAACGAACCCCCAGUGUAAAAAAAGUAUUUAGAGGUGGGGGUUUGGGGAGGUGAUUCAAUCAGGAAGGUGGAGCCCUCCUGAAUGGGAUUCAUACCCUUUUAAAAUUGACCACAGAGAGCUCCUCCGCCCCUCCACCCCUUGUGUGGACACAGUGAAAAGGCUAUUAACCAGGAAGCAGACCCGAUCUGUCAGUGCCUUGAUCCGUGGGCUUCCCAGCCUCCAGAACCAUGAGAAAUAAAUAUCUAUGAUUAUUAGCUACCCCAUCUACAGUAUUUUGAGACCAAACAGGCCAAAACACGCGAUUCCAUUCAUAUUAUGUUCAAGAACAGGCAAAACCAACCUCAACUUAGAAGUUGGAAUAGUGGUGAUCCUUUGCCAAGGGUAUUGACUGGCAGGGGGCACGUGGGAGCCUUGAGGGAUGCUAGAGAUGUUCUCUACCUCAAUCUGAGUGGGCGUUCCAUGGGUGAAUACAUCAGUAAAAAUUCAUCAAGCUGUACGUUUAAGAUUUUGUAUUUCACCUUGGGUAGGUUUACUUUAUAAGUUUUUAAAAGUUUAUUUAUUUAUUCUGAGAGAGAGAACAAACUGGGGAGGGACAGAGAGAGAAGGGGACAGAGGAUCCGAAGUGGGCUCUGUGCUGAUAGCAGAAAGCCCAAAGUGGGGCUCGAACUCAUGAGCUGUGAAAUCAUGCCCUUAGCCGAAGUCAGACACUUAACUGACUGAGCCACUCAGGCGCCCCUAGGUAGGUUUACUUUAGGGAAGUUUUACCUCAGAAGAAAAUUUAAAAAGAAAUAUAGAAACGCACUCCAGAAAAACAGGGCAAUGCUUACAGUAUCAUAACACUGUAAAUGCUAUCCUCAUUUGCAAGGACUGGAAAGACACAGAGAAAAGCAGACUCGGGAGCGUGUACUAGUUAGCUAAUGCUGUGUAACAAGUCACCCCCGGACUAAAUGGUUUAAAACAGAAAUACACAUUUAUUAUUUUUCAUGGUGUCUGGGUUAGAAGUUUGAAAGCAGCUUGGCCAUGCGGUUCUGGAUCAUGGGGUUGCGGACAGAUGUCAGCUGAGGUGGCCAUCGUGCAAAGCCUUCACUAAAGCUAAAGAAUCUGCUUUCAAGAUGGUUGGGGCCCCCAACUCUUGAACUUGGGUUUCUGUUAGAGAGCUGUAGCAAGAAAGUCCCGUAGGUGGAGCCUAGAGGAAAGGGAUCUUCAAGGAUGGAGCUAUGAAGUGGGAGAGGUGGGGAGCUUGGGCAGAGGAGUGAGCCCAGCACACGCAGGAUUCAGGAAGUAUACUCAACAGCACCGUGAGGACGUGCUGGCGUUUGGUGAAGGGGAAUCCUUGAAGGUCAACGGCUCAAGGGUUGCACAAACAGUGAUGCAAGAGAGAGGAGGAAACAUUGCAAGAGGGAAAGUUUUGAGUACGGAAAGGAGAAAGGAUCCGGUGCCUAAGUGGGGGGGGGGUGGGGGAGGCCUCUUAACAUGCUGUCCCAACACGGUCCUGGGCAGGGCAGCAGUUCAUGUGUACCUCUGCAAGUGAGCUCGUGGUGUCCCUGGGGUAAACGCACGGAAGUCUUCUUCUGGUGGCUUCUAUUUUUUUCUGCCAAAGAAGAAGUGAGAAUGAAGAGGGGGAGGGGUGCUGGAGAUUUUGAGAGAGAAGGUGAGAACACGCUUUCUUAGAGAUUAGAGAAGGGAACUGCAGAGGCCCUGCAGAUUGGUUCUGGAUGUCCACUGGAGGCUUGCCCUCACACAGCUGAAGUGUGUCCACUCACAAGCUCAGCUGGGGGGAGCAGGCACAGGAAAGGCAAGGGCCAUUUUUAACCAGCGUUGGGGUUUUGCCAGGCAAGUAGGACGGAGGGAGAAAGAGCAAGGAAGUUAAGGUAAUGUGUACAAGGACCUGACUGCGCUGGGCCACAGAAUCCAAGGAAGGAAGAGAGGACGUGAGAGGAAGUGAGGCAAAGAGAAGAGAAGAUCAAAGGAUCAGGGGGUACCAAUGGCAUCCCAGAAUUGAAAGGCACUUUAUGACUUGGCCCCUCUCUGACAUCUUCUCUCCUCUAUCCCCCUUGAUCGUUCAGCCUAGCCACAUUGGCCUCCUUGUUGUUUCUCAGAGAAACCCAGACAUGCUCCUGCCUCAGGGCCUUUGCACAGGCUGUUCCACGCAAGUGUCUUGCCUCCAAAAAACCCUAAUCAGCCUCUCUCCUUUAAAUAUUUUCUUGACUAUCACCUUCUUAGUGAAGUCUUCCCUGACCACCCAAUUCAAUAUGGCAACCAUCCCCUCCCCAAAUCUCCAAUCUCCUUUACCCUGACCUAUUUUUUCCCAUGGCACUCAACCUCUUUGAACAUUUAAUUAACUCUAAGAUGUCAUCAGGUGUAAGUCACGUGCAUCUUAGAAUCAGUGAUACUGCCUGUUUCCCCAUUAUAAUCUUAUCUCUACGAGGGCAGGGAUCUUGGUUUAUUUCAUUCGCCACCACGUCCCCAGCACCUAGGACAGUGCCUGGUAUCUAGCAAAUGCUCAGCAGAUAUUUUCAACAACCUACUUUGAGCACAAUUGCUUUAGGGAAUUUCCCUGACCCAGAAGACAGAGCAUCAGUUUCUCUACGAUAAAUCUUACCACAUCUCCCCCUCAUCUAUUUUAGCAGCUGGAAUAUUCCAUCUCGAUCCCUCAGAAUCCCCUCACCCAGAUGUCCUGUCCCAAUUCUUGCUUGCCCCCGGGUUAAGGGAUUUCUGAAAGAUCCUGCUGCAAAGUCCCAAAUGGCCACACGGCGGUGCUGUGGGCCUGUUUUCCCAGCCAAGAUCACCUCGGUUC